GCCCCGGCUCCCCCGGCCACCGCGGAGAGGGCGAGCUGCGGCCCCGCGAUGGACAUCGGCCGCCGCAGAACCCCCGGGCGCGGGGCAGACCUUCCCCGCCGUGCCAGGGAAGAUGCCCGGCUAUGCCACAGAAGUGAUAAGGGAAAAGCCCGGUGCCGCCUGCAAAUACAGCUCUAAAAUAGUCACCUGCGGCUCCUGUCCCCGCCUGAGGAUCUCCGAGGAGCAGCCCAGAGAACGGAGCAGAGGGACCCUGGUGGCACGGCCCGGGACGUGCUGACGGACAACAACAACGGGAAUUCUCUUGUCGGCACUGCAACCCCAACAGCAUCCUCCUGCCUGCCUUUGGGGGAAGGUUGUUCCCGUCCCCGUCUUUCUAAAGACACUGCUUCAUCAUCUUCCUACUUCCCACCAGCCCCAGAGCAGGUCACUGCCACAGUCACCACGAACACACCCCGGGAAGCGAUGCUGUCUGCAUGGAUGCAAACCAAUGAGAAAAACCUACAAAGAGUCUUUUUUCCAGGGACCGAGUGAUCAGAACAACCACAGGGGAAGGAAAGCACACCUAACAGAGCUAAUGAGAUUACAACAGGCACCGUGGGUUCCUUGCCAGGACACUUGUAAUCAUGCCACAUUUUUAAUCCCUGCUAGCAAGAGACAAACAAUUGUGCAUAAUUACUUACAAGCACAAGUUAACAACUGUCUUCAUGGUAAACACAGAUACUCAAUUGCUUCAACUGCCCAAAACUCCCAAGUCAGGGUCAUCCUGUGCCAGUAGUCACCACUCAUCGGUGCUUGGGAUAUUGAAGACUCAGGUCUUGAAAACUUAUUCCCUAACAAGUGCCCCAGGCAAACGAGUUUGGCUCUCCCACCAGUGCCACGCUCCCAGCCAUGACAGAUUAGCACCAAGAGAUCUGAAAGCCCAGAACACGCUGCUCUGCCCAGGGCCUCGUGCCAGCGGGUCCAGCAGGCCCACAGGGCACCCCACCUGCCCCGUGCAGGACUACCAGCACAUCAGAGAGCUUUCGGGAGCCUGAACACAUCCCCCAGCCUCCAGUCAAGGUGCACUGCAACUCCACAGGCUGCCAGCCACAAGAAGACAAGUAUUACUCCCAGGAGCUGUAAUGCCUCGAAGGUAAAUCUUCAGAACGUGAAGAAAUACUAAAUGUAUAUUUUGUCUGCACAGUUACUUGAAGAAAAAGAGUUUUGUCAGAAUUUGUUAUCUACCUGAAAACAGCCAGAAAUGUCAGCUUUAAAAAUAGUCUUCGAGCAGAAAUAAAGAAAAACUGUGGACCAGAGGUUUACCUUCAAUAUCUCCACUAAAUAAAGGAAGAUGUUAGCAUGGAAUUAUAAUUUUUUAUCUCCAAAAACUAUUUUCCCUCACUUUGAAAUUCCCUUGUGGUAUUCCAAGUCACUAAAGAGUCCCCAAGAAGCUUCAAAUGCUACAUGAUACACUGUCUGCAAAACCCAGGUGACACAUGGGAUGUCUCCUCUGGGCUGUCUUUAAUAAGCUGAGAAGGACUGCAGCAAAUCCAGAGGGAGAACUGUAGGGACAGGCAGGAAAAGGAUUGAGCUGAACUUUUUAUUUUUUAUUUCAUUAAAACUGAUUUAGGGGCAGAGUUUCUAGACCUCACCUAGUAGGCCAGUCAGUACUAAAGGCUUUUCUUAAUCCACAGGUGGGUUUUGAAGUUCAACUUCUGAAAUUUGGAAGGAUUUGCUACUUGUUUUGGGAAUGUUGCAACAUUGGUUUGGCCAAAGCAUGACCUUGACUUUACUGAUUAUUGGGAAUACAAGGAAAAUGAAGCUAAAAAUGUUGAAAGCAAAUUUUAAAAGUGAUUCUCAGAAAAAACAGAAGAGAGAAAUAACACGGAGAAGUCAUUCCUUAGGAGGAUAACAGAGAUGACUCAGUUGUCUGCUGAGCUGGGUCAAUGAAAAUGAUUAAGAAACAGCCUCACAAAUCAAUGGAAAGGUUAUCUGGAAAUGCCCAAGAAAGUAAAACUAACACAGAAGAGAGUCCUAUUACUUCCCAUUAUUGCUAUAAAGAAAUGUUGUACAGCCAGGUUAAUGAUACAUUUUUCCUCCUCGUUACAGUCUUUGACACAAAAAUAAAGUGUCUCCCUGCGCUGGGAAUUGUUCUUAAAGAGCCAUUGUUUUCACUCUUCCUGUCACUGGGUUUGCUGGACAUCACUGUUUUCUCUAUCUCAAUUCACACACGUCUCUCAAAAAAAGACGUAUAAAGCUGGGCAGGCAAAAAGCCCAACACUGAAGGAGAAGAUGGCAGGGAAGAAUGCUAUUUUUAUGCUCAGAGAAAGUGGAAGCUGAAAACACCAAUCUCAAUGACAUGAGAACUGUCAGCAAGAACAGAUAAUUACACAACGUGAAUUCAUCCUCAUGACAAUGACUCUAAUGAGAUAGGAAAUGGAAUAAAAUCAAUAUUCUAUUUACACUGACGGGGCAGUCCCAAAGCUUGAAAUUGCCAAAUGUCUGUCUUUUAAAUCAAGGAACACAAAAUUACUGACUGCCUUAUAGUAUUUUCAAAACACCUCUGCCAAACUCAAAGUUUACCAAUAACAUAUCUCAACAUAAAAUUUGGAAGAGAUACAGCAAUUACUCCUCGGCACAACUGAGGGAUAUAAUUAUAGUGCUGUCACAAAAUUAAGCUGAAACAAUGAGCUAAUGAACAUCUUGGCCUUGUAACAGUAUAGGACUGGGUAAAGAAAAAUACUCUUUAGUAAACUACAGCUGAACAACCCAAUUGUCUUGUACUGUAGCCCCACAGGAGCUGCACCCACUGUGCAGCAUGGAAAAGCUAAACGACCCCUCUCUCAAUUUGGGACUUUCACAUAUACCUGGAACAAAUGGAGUGCAAAGGCAGGGCAGAGAGCAGCCAGCUCUGGAGCAGGACUGCCCAGGUGCUGUACCCUGAGAUGGAUUCCACAGUUCCCCAGCCCAGCAGCUUGGGACUCAGAGCCUGCUAACACUACAAGCACAUGUUAGCUCUGAAUUACUGAGUCCCACACUGGAUUCGUAAAAAACUGCCAACACUGCUUCCGUGACCCAGAUAUUUUGCAUGAUAUACAUAGUUUUAGUAGUAGUAGUAGUAGUAGUACUAGUGUUUUAAAGGUUUUUCUGUACUGUUUUAGCUCUGACAGACUCGCCUGGUGCAACCUCCCACCGACUUCAGUGGCUCCUCUGGCACAUCCCCGACAGACGUGGUUUUAUCUGAGUCUAUUUCACAGUUUCUGGAACUGUUUUAGCAGAACCACCUAACUGUGACAUUCCAUCUGAAUUUAACACACCCAAGUGCACUCAGUUCAUGAAAACGGGAUAAAUAAUGAAAAAGAGGCCACAUGUUGCACACUACGUGCCCCAGGCACGUGCAGGAAUCAGGUACUGCUCCAAGAUUUCUGUCCCUAAUCAAACCACAAACAAGUUCCCACCAGCAGUGCACUGGCACUGAUACACAAAUCCCCCAGCCCAAUCCUCUCUUACUUUAGAUUACAGUAAUGCUAUUUUCAAGUCAGAAAGUUAUACUGCAAAUUCCAUAAACCCUCUUUUCUUUAAGGAGCAGACGGUUACGGAUUAGCCACUAGUGCUGCAAUUUUAAAAAUCUUUAAAAUCAAGAAAUAUGCCUGUUGAUUUCUCUUUUUAAUGACCUGGGGCAUAUAUCAGUCUCCUUUACAAACUUUGGGACUUGAGGGACACGCAGAAUUCACAGUCUGACAGCCUUAGCUGGACGUGUAUUUAUGAACGAGAGCAGGGACAGGCCAGUGCCUGUCUCGGACAAGGACGUGGCACAUGAGCUGUUAUUCUGCUCUUGCAACUUCAAGCCAGGGACACAAAACAGGGAUGGAUUACUCUGCCUUUAACCCAUUUUCCAUCAAAUUUGUGUAUUACAAAGCAUUCACAUACCCAUCCCCACCACCGAACUUGCAAAUACUGUUUCUGGUAAUAAAAAUGUAUCCACACUGUAAUUCCUUUAUCAUAACAUCCACAUAAUGUAUUGCAGAAAUGGGAAGUUUUCUAUUACCCUGGCAUAGGGGGAUUUCAACUGUUUAAGAAGUGAAAUUUCCCAAGCAAGUCUAAAAAGAAGUUGUUUAUCUUUAAAAAUAACAGCAAUCUAGUGAUGCAAGUUAAAAUUCUGAGAAGUAACAAACUGAACAGAAAAAACGAGCUCUUUUAUUAAAAUCAGUCUUACAUGCUUGUUCUAAUUAAUAGUAAUUUUAAAUAUGUUGUUUCUAUACAAAGACAUUUGUAUAGAAAUGCACUAUGCACUCUUCCAAAAACUACAAGCUAUUUAUUAAUCAGACUCUUGCACAUUUUGUUUGAUUAACUGCAAAUGUACACAAGCCAAACGAGGCAGGAGAGCAGCGAGAUGACCCACAGCAGUGGGGUCAGACCAGGAUCAGGCCCCCCAACACCACCAUCCCCCCGGGGCAGCACAGACUUGUAAAACCUUCCCUACUCCCUCCUGUGCAGGGGUGUGACCCUCACCCUCAUCUCCGGCCUGUUUCAGUGGGAGCGGGUGUGGGGUGUUCUCCUCAAGAACAGCCAUGUGGCAAACCCCAGGGUGAAUCCCACAGGAGAGAUUCAGAGCUGGGAGGUGCCUAUAACAGUAGCAAAGAGGAAACACUCCCAUAGUGACAGCUGAUUUCUAACUGUACAUGUGUGUAUGCAUUUAUAUAAAACGUGAUUAUUGGCAUCAUCCAUGAUAACCUCCACCACAGAAAAAAAAAUCCAUGUCCAUGACUCAGCAAGGGAAGCAACUGCUUCCUUCUGCCAGCAAAUUCCGCUGUGCCAAUGAAGUGAAGGAGAAGUGACCCAGAGGAGCUCUCACUGGUGAGAGGUGCAGCAGACAACCCCCAGCUUCUUGCAGACCCAAUGCUUAAACACCUCCUGUACCAGAAGGGAAAACACACUUCACGAAUAUCACAAUGCACCUUAUUACUACUCAGGUACCCACCUUUUACAAUCAGAUAAAUGGGGUUUCACUUCCCUUCCUAAUGCAGCUGCCACAUGGCCUUGGUUGCAAAAGGUGGCUUUUCCUUCCCCAGAAAUGGCUGGAUAGAGCAGUGGGGAAAAGAAGUCCUGAGAGACCAUUGCAGCGAGCUGCUGAUGGAGCAGGGCAUACACAGGGCAAUACUGACACUAUCAUUCAUUCAUUACUAGGAGCACUUGCUCCAGCCAACAAGCUCAUGCACUUGGCCUCACCAACCCAUCCCUGUCUGGGCCCCCUCUCCCAAAUUCACCCCCGACACCAAACUCCAGAUUUCAGAGUUCUUGCCCAGUAACAUGCCAAUUGGUUUGUUAGGAGGAUAAUUUCAAGUCAGGAGUCUGGAUGCAGCCACCACAUCCCUCCACACAUCCAAUUACUUGGCAAGAUUAAAUCUGAACCUAAUUACCAGGAACAGAACAGGCCAUUCAUGUCACCUGCUCUGAGCUGGUGUGUCAUCCCACUCCUGGUGACAGGGCCCUGCUGGCCCCGUGCUGUCACACAGGGAGUGACACACAGGGGCUGAUGGGGAGUCCUCGGCACAGUUCCGUGGGGGCACCUUCCUACUCACUGUCUGCUGCGUAACAGGCACUGUCCAGCCAGGCCCAGCAUUUUUUUGGGAAUUACCUGGAGUGCUUCACCUUGCAUCUGACUUGAGGGCAACCAAAAAGGGACGUGAGUGCAGCUGAGGAGGAACUUGCUACACCAAGUUCCGCUCUCAGCAGCUGUUAGAGCUCAUCGUCCGAUGGCCUGGGCACCUCAGCUCAGCCAUGGUGAGCUCUGGCAACUCAGGGACAAUCACUUGCUUCACUCCAAGGACCAGAAAAUUUUGUGGGAAUGGGGAAAGCGGGGUCACUGACACAGUCUGGACUGAAGGAAUGCUGCAGCAAGUGGCAAACCAGCACCCUGGCUCUGCAGCAAGACCAGGCAGCACCCACAUCUCCAAGGCCACCCCAGGGUCCCACAGUGGCAGCACUGCCGUGCUGGGGACACCCAGAGCAGGGAGGCACUGCCAGCUCAGUGAGAGGACAGCACUGCCCAACUUGGUCACUGACAACAUGAACCACAAAGCAAGGACAGUGCUGGAACCCACUGCAGUCUGCUGAGGGACAGGAGACACAGAGACCACGUUCACAGCUGGCUGUUCCUCCCUGAAUCUCAGAUCCCAGAUUUUCUAUUUUUUUAUACAUUUUGACCUUACAUUUAAUUUAUGUUUAUCAAUCAUAUCCUUCCAGGAUAAAAACUUGCACAACUUUUCAGAAAAUACAACAAAUCUAUAUAAUUUCUUUUCAUUAGUUACAUAAGAAUCUAAAUCCCAGAGAGUUUUUAACUCCCUCUGCUCUGCCACCAUCUGAGAUCACUGUCGUGCAGUAGUACAAAAGCAAAAUGAUUCUUCCAUACACAGUAAAACUAAUCCAGUUUAGGAGACUGCUUUCUUUGACUUAACAGAUAUCCCUACACAGACAGUGCUCAGCAGCACAGAAGCACUUAUUGAUGUGAUUAAUUCUGCAUCGUGACAAAUCUCACCCAAGCUAAAUAAAUACAUGUGCCUUCAGAUACCAAGGAAAAGCUCCAAAUUAGUCACUGGUAUUAAAGAGAAGUAAUAAAAAUAAUAAAAACUG